rnacentral:rRNA from 1 species
CCUACGGGUGGCAGCAGUGGGGGAUAUUGCACAAUGGGCGGAACCCUGAUGCAGCGACGCCGCGUGGGUGAAGGAGCGUUUCGGCGCGUAAAGCCCUAUCGGCAGGGAAGAAGGAGGUCGGUACCUGACUCAGAAGCCCCGACUUACUACGCGCCAGCAGCCGCGGUAAGACGGAGGGGGCAAGCGUUAUCCGGAUUUACUGGGUGUAACGGGGGCGCAGGCGGAAGCGGAAGCCAGGAGUGAACGCCCGGGGCCCAACCCCGGGACUGCCCGUGGACCUGGGCGGCUGGAGUGCAGGAGGGGCAGGCGGAAUUCCUGGUGUAGCGGUGAAAUGCGUAGAUAUCAGGAGGAACACCGGUGGCGAAGGCGGCCUGCUGGACUGCGACUGACGUUGAGGCCCGAAAGCGUGGGGAGCAAACAGGAUUAGAUACCCCUGUAGUC